AGAGUUUGAUCCUGGCUCAGAAUGAACGCUGGCGGCGUGCUUAACACAUGCAAGUCGGAUGUGCCGCAAGGUGCAUGGCAGACGGGUGAGUAACGCGUGGGGAACCUACCUCUUCGUGGGGAAUAACGCUCCGAAAGGAGUGGUAAUACCGCAUGAGACCUUGGGCUGGGAUGUUCAAGGUGAAAGCUGGGGAUCGAAAGACCUGGCGCGAGGAGAGGGUCCUGCGUCUGAUUAGCUAGUUGGUGGGGUAAUGGCCUACCAAGGCGACGAUCAGUAGCCGGCCUGAGAGGGUGAUCGGCCACACUGGAACUGAGACACGGUCCAGACUCCUACGGGAGGCAGCAGUGGGGAAUUUUGCGCAAUGGGCGAGAGCCUGACGCAGCAACGCCGCGUGGGUGAUGAAGGUCUUC
rnacentral:rRNA from 1 species